AAAAUAAGAGAAAACAAACGACGCAACGUUAAAAUGUAACACACACAGAAACGAACUAUAAUAUAACAAUGGCCAUAUUCCUGACUUGGUACAGGACAUUUUUAAAGGAAAAAAUGGUGGGUUGAACCUGGUUUUGUGGCAUGCCAAACCUCCCUCUUUUAUAGCCAUGUGAAAUAUAACAUUAAAAUGACAACUCAACACCACAGGACUACAAUAUAAAUAAAUUGGAGAACACAAUUGACAAAGAAACACACGAACAACAGCCAACAAAAGGCAACAAGUUCAAAAUUUUAAUACGCCAGAAGUGCAUUUUGUCCACACAAGAUCUACCAGUGACGCCCAGAUACAAAAG
rnacentral:lncRNA from 1 species